rnacentral:rRNA from 1 species
CUGGCGGCGAGUGGCGAACGGGUGAGUAAUAUAUCGGAACGUACCCAAGAGUGGGGGACAACGUUUCGAAAGGAACGCUAAUACCGCAUACGUCCUACGGGAGAAAGCAGGGGACCUUCGGGCCUUGCGCUAUCAGAUGAGCCUAGGUCGGAUUAGCUAGUUGGUGAGGUAAUGGCUCACCAAGGCGACGAUCCGUAACUGGUCUGAGAGGAUGAUCAGUCACACUGGAACUGAGACACGGUCCAGACUCCUACGGGAGGCAGCAGUGGGGAAUAUUGGACAAUGGGCGAAAGCCUGAUCCAGCCAUGCCGCGUGUGUGAAGAAGGUCUUCGGAUUGUAAAGCACUUUAAGUUGGGAGGAAGGGCAUUAACCUAAUACGUUAGUGUUUUGACGUUACCGACAGAAUAAGCACCGGCUAACUCUGUGCCAGCAGCCGCGGUAAUACAGAGGGUGCAAGCGUUAAUCGGAAUUACUGGGCGUAAAGCGCGCGUAGGUGGUUUGUUAAGUUGGAUGUGAAAUCCCCGGGCUCAACCUGGGA